rnacentral:rRNA from 1 species
GGGGGGGGGGGGGGGCGGGCGGGGCGGGGGGGGGGCGGGCGGGGGGGCGCGGCGGUUGGGGGGUGCUCGGGGGGCGGCCGGGUGAGUAGCGCGGGGGUGACCUGCCCUUGACUUGGGGAUCACUUCAGGAGCCUGGGGCUCAUCCCGGAUAGGAGCUCCUGCUGCAUGGUGUUGGUUGUAAAGUUUCGGCGUUUGUGGAUGUACUCGCGGCUUAUCCGCUUGUUGGUGGGGUAGUGGCUUACCCAGGCUUUGCCGGGUAGCCGGCCUGAGAGGGUGACCGGCCACAUUGGGACGGAGAUACGGCCGAGAAUCCAACGGGAGGAAGCAGUGGGGAAUAUUGCACAAUGGGCGGAAGCCUGAUGCAGCAGCGCCGCGUGCGGGAUGACGGCCUUCGGGGUGUAAACCGAUGUCGCCUGUGACGAAGCGUGAGUGACGGUAAUGGGUAAAGAAGCAACGGCUAACUACGUG